UUCGCCUACGGGACGCAGCAUUUAUUCCUCUUGGUCCCUUUUCUCGAGCCUGAACCAGCCAAGUCGCGUGAGGGAAGACGGUCCUAUGGAUUGUAAACCUCUUUUGUCGGGGAGCAAAAGACGCCACGUGUGGCGUUCCGAGAGUACCCGAAGAAAAAGCAUCGGCUAACUCCGUGCCAGCAGCCGCGGUAAUACGGAGGAUGCGAGCGUUAUCCGGAUUUAUUGGGUUUAAAGGGUGCGCAGGCGGAAGAUCAAGUCAGCGGUAAAAUUGAGAGGCUCAACCUCUUCGAGACGUUGAAACUGGU
rnacentral:rRNA from 1 species